rnacentral:rRNA from 1 species
UGGGGAAUAUUGCACAAUGGAGGGAACUCUGAUGCAGCGACGCCGCGUGAGUGAUGAAGGAAUUCGUUUCGUAAAACUCUGUUCUAUGGGAAGAAAAGGACUGUACCAUAGGAGAAAGCUCCGGCUAAAUACGUGCCAGCAGCCGCGGUAAUACGUAUGGAGCGAGCGUUGUCCGGAAUUAUUGGGCGUAAAGGGUGCGCAGGCGGCUUUACAAGUUGGAUGUGAAAUAGUGUGGCUCAACCACAAACGUGCAUCCAAAACUGCAAAGCUCGAGUUAAGGAGAGGUAAGUGGAAUUCCUGGUGUAGCGGUGGAAUGCGUAGAUAUCAGGAGGAAUACCGGUGGCGAAGGCGACUUACUGGACUUAAACUGACGCUCAGGCACGAAAGCGUGGGGAGCAAACAGG